GGUGAAAAGCACCCCGGAAGGGGAGUGAAAUAGAACCUGAAACCGUGUGCUUACAAGUAGUCAGAGCCCGUUAAUGGGUGAUGGCGUGCCUUUUGUAGAAUGAACCGGCGAGUUACGAUUUGAUGCAAGGUUAAGCAGUAAAUGUGGAGCCGUAGCGAAAGCGAGUCUGAAUAGGGCGUUUAGUAUUUGGUCGUAGACCCGAAACCAGGUGAUCUACCCUUGGUCAGGUUGAAGUUCAGGUAACACUGAAUGGAGGACCGAACCGACUUACGUUGAAAAGUGAGCGGAUGAACUGAGGGUAGCGGAGAAAUUCCAAUCGAACCUGGAGAUAGCUGGUUCUCUCCGAAAUAGCUUUAGGGCUAGCCUCAAGUGAUGAUUAUUGGAGGUAGAGCACUGUUUGGACGAGGGGCCCCUCUCGGGUUACCGAAUUCAGACAAACUCCGAAUGCCAAUUAAUUUAACUUGGGAGUCAGAACAUGGGUGAUAAGGUCCGUGUUCGAAAGGGAAACAGCCCAGACCACCAGCUAAGGUCCCAAAAUAUAUGUUAAGUGGAAAAGGAUGUGGCGUUGCCCAGACAACUAGGAUGUUGGCUUAGAAGCAGCCAUCAUUUAAAGAGUGCGUAAUAGCUCACUAGUCGAGUGACACUGCGCCGAAAAUGUACCGGGGCUAAACAUAUUACCGAAGCUGUGGAUUGUCCUUUGGACAAUGGUAGGAGAGCGUUCUAAGGGCGUUGAAGCAUGAUCGUAAGGACAUGUGGAGCGCUUAGAAGUGAGAAUGCCGGUGUGAGUAGCGAAAGACGGGUGAGAAUCCCGUCCACCGAUUGACUAAGGUUUCCAGAGGAAGGCUCGUCCGCUCUGGGUUAGUCGGGUCCUAAGCUGAGGCCGACAGGCGUAGGCGAUGGAUAACAGGUUGAUAUUCCUGUACCACCUAUAAUCGUUUUAAUCGAUGGGGGGACGCAGUAGGAUAGGCGAAGCGUGCGAUUGGAUUGCACGUCUAAGCAGUAAGGCUGAGUAUUAGGCAAAUCCGGUACUCAUUAAGGCUGAGCUGUGAUGGGGAGAAGACAUUGUGUCUUCGAGUCGUUGAUUUCACACUGCCGAGAAAAGCCUCUAGAUAGAAAAUAGGUGCCCGUACCGCAAACCGACACAGGUAGUCAAGAUGAGAAUUCUAAGGUGAGCGAGCGAACUCUCGUUAAGGAACUCGGCAAAAUGACCCCGUAACUUCGGGAGAAGGGGUGCUCUUUAGGGUUAACGCCCAGAAGAGCCGCAGUGAAUAGGCCCAAGCGACUGUUUAUCAAAAACACAGGUCUCUGCUAAACCGUAAGGUGAUGUAUAGGGGCUGACGCCUGCCCGGUGCUGGAAGGUUAAGAGGAGUGGUUAGCUUCUGCGAAGCUACGAAUCGAAGCCCCAGUAAACGGCGGCCGUAACUAUAACGGUCCUAAGGUAGCGAAAUUCCUUGUCGGGUAAGUUCCGACCCGCACGAAAGGCGUAACGAUUUGGGCACUGUCUCAACGAGAGACUCGGUGAAAUCAUAGUACCUGUGAAGAUGCAGGUUACCCGCGACAGGACGGAAAGACCCCGUGGAGCUUUACUGUAGCCUGAUAUUGAAAUUCGGCACAGCUUGUACAGGAUAGGUAGGAGCCUUUGAAACGUGAGCGCUAGCUUACGUGGAGGCGCUGGUGGGAUACUACCCUAGCUGUGUUGGCUUUCUAACCCGCACCACUUAUCGUGGUGGGAGACAGUGUCAGGCGGGCAGUUUGACUGGGGCGGUCGCCUCCUAAAAGGUAACGGAGGCGCUCAAAGGUUCCCUCAGAAUGGUUGGAAAUCAUUCAUAGAGUGUAAAGGCAUAAGGGAGCUUGACUGCGAGACCUACAAGUCGAGCAGGGUCGAAAGACGGACUUAGUGAUCCGGUGGUUCCGCAUGGAAGGGCCAUCGCUCAACGGAUAAAAGCUACCCCGGGGAUAACAGGCUUAUCUCCCCCAAGAGUUCACAUCGACGGGGAGGUUUGGCACCUCGAUGUCGGCUCAUCGCAUCCUGGGGCUGUAGUCGGUCCCAAGGGUUGGGCUGUUCGCCCAUUAAAGCGGUACGCGAGCUGGGUUCAGAACGUCGUGAGACAGUUCGGUCCCUAUCCGUCGUGGGCGUAGGAAAUUUGAGAGGAGCUGUCCUUAGUACGAGAGGACCGGGAUGGACAUACCUCUGGUGUACCAGUUGUCGUGCCAACGGCAUAGCUGGGUAGCUAUGUGUGGACGGGAUAAGUGCUGAAAG
rnacentral:rRNA from 1 species